AGCAGUCGCCACGGGAAUACAGAGGAUGCAAGCGUUAUCCGGAAUGAUUGGGCGUAAAGCGAGCGCAGGCGGUUAGAUAAGUCUGAAGUUAGAGGCUGUGGCUUAACCAUAGUACGCUUUGGAAACUGUUUAACUUGAGUGCAAGAGGGGAGAGUGGAAUUCCAUGUGUAGCGGUGAAAUGCGUAGAUAUAUGGAGGAACACCGGUGGCGAAAGCGGCUCUCUGGCUUGUAACUGACGCUGAGGCUCGAAAGCGUGGGGAGCAAACAGGAUUAGAGACCCCCGUAGUCCCUGUCUCUUAUACA
rnacentral:rRNA from 1 species